rnacentral:rRNA from 2 species
GGGUUGUGAGGUUAAGCGACUAAGCGUACACGGUGGAUGCCCUGGCAGUCAGAGGCGAUGAAGGGCGUGCUAAUCUGCGAUAAGCGCCGGUAAGGUGAUAUGAACCGUUAUAACCGGCGAUACCCGAAUGGGGAAACCCAGUGUGACUCGUCACACUAUCAUUAACUGAAUCCAUAGGUUAAUGAGGCGAACCGGGGGAACUGAAACAUCUAAGUACCCCGAGGAAAAGAAAUCAACCGAGAUUCCCCCAGUAGCGGCGAGCGAACGGGGAGGAGCCCAGAGCCUGAAUCAGCAUGUGUGUUAGUGGAAGCGUCUGGAAAGGCGCGCGAUACAGGGUGACAGCCCCGUACACAAAAGCGCAUGUGCUGUGAGCUCGAUGAGUAGGGCGGGACACGUGGUAUCCUGUCUGAAUAUGGGGGGACCAUCCUCCAAGGCUAAAUACUCCUGACUGACCGAUAGUGAACCAGUACCGUGAGGGAAAGGCGAAAAGAACCCCGGCGAGGGGAGUGAAAAAGAACCUGAAACCGUGUACGUACAAGCAGUGGGAGCCCCACCACCAAAGCAUUCUCUGGUGUUGAAGGCCCUGCAAAGCAGCAUCGCGGUGGCGGAGCGUCGUUUGCGACGCCCAACACACAAAACAAGCGGUGAGUGC